UGUCACACAUCUCUUCCCCAAUCCCCAUGGUGGUGGUGGUGCUGGUGCCCUCUUCCCCAUCCCGCCGCCGCACAAAGCCAGCCAGCGUCGCCUACCCACAGAUCUCGCUGGGCGAGGCGGAGGCGGAGCCUGACCUCCAGCUCCCAAGCCCUCUGCUACAAGUCGACGAGGGGCGGCCGCUAACCCCUCUGUUCGGCACCGGCCCCAGGCCCUCUUCCACCGUCGCCCCACAAGCGCUGCAGCCUUCGUCCAUGGCGAUCUUGGAAGAAAUUUCGGCCAAGGUUUAGGUAUGUCAUCUUGCUGUUAUACAGCCGUUAUGCUGCUGAAAAUUGAUGUGACAAAAGGAGACAAGGCAUGAAGAAUCCAUCUUGUGAACAGACAGUUUCCUCUUCCUCCACCCCGUUCCCCACGGACGCCAAUAAAGAAAUGGGAGGCGAGAGGCAGCCACCGGCGGCCGCAGCAGUCACCGUAUCCAAGGUGCUCGACGAUGACGACCUCCUCAUCGAAAUCCUUCUCCGCGUCGGUUUCCCCACCACCCUCGUCUGCGCCGCCCUCGUCUGCAAGCGCUGGCUAGGGCAUGCCUCCGACCGCGCCUUCCUUCGCCGUUUCCGCGAGCUCCACCCGCCCCGCCUCCUCGGCUUCUACAUCGACGACUUUGAUCUUCCGCCCGGCUUGACAUCAGUGUUGUCCCAGUGCUGCCUCAGCCCCCAGAGCUUGCUGUUGUCGUCCGCCGUGCAAGCUUCAAAUUGGAAACCAACAAUGCCAGGUCUGCUACAAUCCAGGACUGCCAGAACGGCAGCAUCUUCUUCACCUUGUACAAUGGCAGAAGCGGAAACUCAGCCAGAGUGCACUGCCUGUUGUGCCCCGAGAGAGAUCUAUCCAACCUCCCACAACUCCCACGCCCUGGACUCGAGCGUAACUGCACUUUCAAACAAGUUCUUUCCAAAGAAGAAGGGGAUGGCAUGUCCUACUACUACUUGUAUGUGGAGUCUAGCAGGCGCGCAGAAACAGAAUCUAUCCUACACGUAUAUAUGUUGCAAGAUGGUUCCCGAUGGACGCAUCAUCUCUUGGACAUAGACAACUUCCCUGAACCACGAUGGAAACUGAAAGCUGUGCUCGUUGAUAAUAAAAUCUACAUGGCGGCUGCCGAGAGUGCCAUUAUUGUUUUGGAUUUGUCGGACUUGAGUCUCUCUACAAUUCGGCUUCCGCAAGGUGUGGCGCAUGGCGUCACCGGCACCACUAUGUUGGCACGUGCUCAUGAUGCUUCUGGUGUAUAUCUCAUCCAUGUUGAGGAGUUUCAACUUCGCAUCUGGCUCUACAAGGGGGGAAACUGGUCACUGGUGGAUACCUUUUUUUUGCGUGAGAUGUGUGCUAACUUGAGGAAUUCAUGUUGCACAAUCGAGGAUGAAUAGACUCCUAACACUGAACCAGGUGGUGGACUAUGGUGACUUUGUGUUCUUGAAGAUGGGUGAAUGUGCACUCCAGUUGGACAUCAAGUGCAGGACACUGCGUAAGGUGUAUGAAGCAAAAAAUGGUCGUUUGGGUUUUAAUAUCCAUCCUUUUAUGAUGAUCUGGCCUCCCACAUUCCCAACGCUCAAGUAUGAUGCUGCAAGAGAUGCAAUGGGGAGAAGAAUUAUACCAGGAAGCUCAUGGAUGGCACCUAUGCCGAGAGUGACCAGGGCGGCAUCAAGGAAGAGCAGUAGGUGACUGCAUUUCCUCUACGGAAAUCUGGUUAUGAUCCAAGUGAAAGCGAAGCUAUAUUUCCUAACAGGGAGAAAACCUAGGAAUUAUUAGCUUUAUCAUGCGCUAGACAUUUCAGUGUGUACUGCAAUGUUUUAGUUUGCCAAAGUGGUGUGCAAAAUCUGGGAUCAUUUCUUCUUUGACAGUGCAUGUACAAGAGGUUUCAUAACUGCACUCUGAUCCAGUGAAAUUAUGUCGCAACGCUUGAACAUACUGCAAGUGUAACUAACAAGUUUGAAGAAGAAGAAGAAAAAUGGAAGCGUCAUGCACCAUUGCUUUCA